rnacentral:rRNA from 1 species
AUUGAACGCUGGCGGCAUGCUUUACACAUGCAAGUCGAACGGCAGCGCGGGCUUCGGCCUGGCGGCGAGUGGCGAACGGGUGAGUAAUACAUCGGAACGUGCCCAGUAGUGGGGGAUAGCUCGGCGAAAGCCGGAUUAAUACCCCAUACGACCUGAGGGUGAAAGCGGGGGAUCUUCGGACCUCCCGCUCUUGGAGCGGCCGAUGGCAGAUUAGCUAGUUGGUGGGGUAAAGGCCUACCAAGGCGACGAUCUGUAGCUGGUCUGAGAGGACGACCAGCCACACUGGGACUGAGACACGGCCCAGACUCCUACGGGAGGCAGCAGUGGGGAAUUUUGGACAAUGGGCGAAAGCCUGAUCCAGCAAUGCCGCGUGUGUGAUGAAGGCCUUCGGGUUGUAAAGCACUUUUGGCGGGAACGAAAAGGACUGUGCCAAUACCACGGUUCGAUGACGGUACCCGAAGAAUAAGCACCGGCUAACUACGUG